AGUGAACGCUGGCGGUAGGCCUAACACAUGCAAGUCGAACGGCAGCACAGUAAGAGCUUGCUCUUACGGGUGGCGAGUGGCGGACGGGUGAGGAAUACAUCGGAAUCUACUUUUUCGUGGGGGAUAACGUAGGGAAACUUACGCUAAUACCGCAUACGACCUACGGGUGAAAGCAGGGGAUCUUCGGACCUUGCGCGAUUGAAUGAGCCGAUGUCGGAUUAGCUAGUUGGCGGGGUAAAGUCCCACCAAGGCGACGAUCCGUAGCUGGUCUGAGAGGGUGAUAAGACACACUAGAACUGAGACACGGUCCAGACUCCUAAGGGUGGCAGGAGUAGGGAAUAUUGGACAAUGGGCGGAAGCGUGAUCCAGCCAUACCGCGUGGGUGAAAAAGGAGUUCGGGUUGUAAAGCCCUUUUGUUAGGGAAGAAAAGCAGCAGGUUAAUACCCCGCUGUUCUGACGGUACCCAAAGAAUAAGCACCGGCUAACUUCGUG
rnacentral:rRNA from 1 species